rnacentral:rRNA from 1 species
AUUGAACGCUGGCGGCAGGCCUAACACAUGCAAGUCGAACGAGUGGCGGACGGGUGCGUAAUGUCUGGGAAACUGCCUGAUGGAGGGGGAUAACUACUGGAAACGGUAGCUAAUACCGCAUACCAUCGGGUGUGCCCCGAUGGGCUUAGCGAGGAGGUUGGGUAACGGCUCACCUAGGCGAAGAUCCCUAGCUGGUCUGAGAGGAUGACCAGCCAAACUGGAACUGAGACACGGUCCAGACUCCGACGGGAGUCAGCAGUUGUGAAUAUUGCACAAUGGUCGCAAGCCUGAUGCAGCCAUGCCGCGUGAAUGAAGAAGGCCUUCGGUUUGUAAAGUACUUUCAGCGGUGAGGCGGUACCCGCAGAAGAAGCACCGGCUAACUCCGUGCCAGCAGCCGCGGUAAUAC